ACGGAGGGUGCAAGCGUUGUUCGGAUUUACUGGGCGUAAAGCGCGCGCAGGCGGAUUAACAAGUCAGAUGUGAAAUCCCAGGGCUUAACCCUGGAACUGCGUCUGAAACUGUUAGUCUUGAGUCUCACAGGGGGUAGGGGAAUUUCACGUGUAGGGGUAAAAUCCGUAGAGAUGUGAAGGAACACCAGUGGCGAAGGCGCCUACCUGGAUGAGUACUGACGCUGAGGCGCGAAAGCGUGGGGAGCAAACAGG
rnacentral:rRNA from 1 species